UAAUUAGUGAAUUAUGUGUUUUUCUGUAAUUUGUGUGACAUUAGUUUGAAUUUACAAUCUCAUUUAUGAGUAAAUUUCAAUAUUCUAGUAAAUUAAUAUUAUCAUUUAAGCCCGUUUCAUUUGGAAUUUUUGCCAGUCUUGGAAAUGGAUGUGCAAAGACUUCGAAAAGCUUGAUCUAUCAUUACCAAUUAGCUACUUGAAGUGAUAUGGAUUAAAAACAUGAAAAUUAAAUAA